UACGUAGGGGGCAAGCGUUGUCCGGAAUCAUUGGGCGUAAAGAGCGUGUAGGCGGUCCGGUCAGUCGGAUGUGAAAUCCCUCGGCUCAACCGAGGAACUGCAUCCGAUACUGGCGGGCUUGAAUCCGGGAGAGGGAUGUGGAAUUCCAGGUGUAGCGGUGAAAUGCGUAGAUAUCUGGAAGAACACCCGUGGCUAAGGCGGCUCUCUAGUACGGUACUGACGCUGAGACGCGAAAGCGUGGGGAGCGAACAGG
rnacentral:rRNA from 1 species